AGGACGAACGCUGGCGGCGUGCUUAACACAUGCAAGUCGAGCGGAAAGGCCCUUCGGGGUACUCGAGCGGCGAACGGGUGAGUAACACGUGGGCAACCUGCCCUUAGCUCUGGGAUAGCUCCGGGAAACCGGAAUUAAUACCGGAUAUGACUAUGGCUGACAUCAGCCACGGUGGAAAGUUUUUCGGCUAGGGAUGAGCUCGCGGCCUAUCAGCUAGUUGGUGGGGUAACGCCUACCAAGGCGACGACGGGUA
rnacentral:rRNA from 1 species